AUUGAACGCUGGCGGCAGGCUUAACACAUGCAAGUCGAGCGGGGUGAUGGUGCUUGCACUAUCACUUAGCGGCGGACGGGUGAGUAAUGCUUAGGAAUCUGCCUAUUAGUGGGGGACAACAUCUCGAAAGGGAUGCUAAUACCGCAUACGUCCUACGGGAGAAAGCAGGGGAUCACUUGUGACCUUGCGCUAAUAGAUGAGCCUAAGUCGGAUUAGCUAGUUGGUGGGGUAAAGGCCUACCAAGGCGACGAUCUGUAGCGGGUCUGAGAGGAUGAUCCGCCACACUGGGACUGAGACACGGCCCGGACUCCCACGGGAGGCAGCAGUGGGGAAUAUUGGACAAUGGGGGGAACCCUGAUCCAGCCAUGCCGCGUGUGUGAAGAAGGCCUUAUGGUUGUAAAGCACUUUAAGCGAGGAGGAGGCUCUUUUGGUUAAUACCCAAGAUGAGUGACGUUACUCGCAGAAUAAGCACCGGCUAACUCUGUGCCAGCCGCCGCGGUAA
rnacentral:rRNA from 1 species